rnacentral:rRNA from 1 species
UGGACCCGUGAUCCGGGUUGCGGACAGUGUCUGGUGGGUAGUUUGACUGGGGCGGUCUCCUCCUAAAGAGUAACGGAGGAGCACGAAGGUUGGCUAAUCCUGGUCGGACAUCAGGAGGUUAGUGCAAUGGCAUAAGCCAGCUUGACUGCGAGCGUGACGGCGCGAGCAGGUGCGAAAGCAGGUCAUAGUGAUCCGGUGGUUCUGAAUGGAAGGGCCAUCGCUCAACGGAUAAAAGGUACUCCGGGGAUAACAGGCUGAUACCGCCCAAGAGUUCAUAUCGACGGCGGUGUUUGGCACCUCGAUGUCGGCUCAUCACAUCCUGGGGCUGAAGUAGGUCCCAAGGGUAUGGCUGUUCGCCAUUUAAAGUGGUACGCGAGCUGGGUUUAGAACGUCGUGAGACAGUUCGGUCCCUAUCUGCCGUGGGCGCUGGAGAACUGAGGGGGGCUGCUCCUAGUACGAGAGGACCGGAGUGGACGCAUCACUGGUGUUCGGGUUGUCAUGCCAAUGGCACU